UACGGAGGGUGCAAGCGUUAUCCGGAUUCACUGGGUUUAAAGGGUGCGUAGGUGGGUUGGUAAGUCAGUGGUGAAAUCUCCGAGCUUAACUUGGGAACUGCCAUUGAUACUAUCAGUCUUGAAUAUUGUGGAGGUCAGCGGAAUAUGUCAUGUAGCGGUGAAAUGCUUAGAUAUGACAUAGAACACCAAUUGCGGAGGCAGCUGGCUACACAUAUAUUGACACUGAGGCACGAAAGCGUGGGGAUCAAACAGG
rnacentral:rRNA from 1 species